UUCUGAGAAGUUUCAUGGUAUUGGGAGUAAGACUCGGUGGCCUUAUACAGCAAAGAUAUAAGUUAGCAUUCAGUUUGUCCAUAAGGAUUGAGACUGGAAAUGGCAAUUGGAGCAGACUUUUAAGGAUGCCAUUACUGUGGCUGCAUGAAAUAAUUGUGUGAUCUAUUCUGUAAAAAGAAAAAAAAAGCAAUUGAAAAAUGUUAAAUAUGUUUUAAGAAAACAAAUUGUAAAGAUUCUCCAAUUUCUACAAGAAUGGAAGUUUGAAUUUCUAAUGAUCUUAAAAUUUAAAUUUAGGAAAAUUUCUUUUUAUCCCUUGCAUAAAAUGGCUAGAUCUUUUUAUACUUACAAACCUCAGAGGGAAUAUUAACACUUCUAGUGGUUUAGAAUGGAGGAUCUAAAAAAAAAGAAAAAAAAAAAACUUUUGUAAAAUAUUUCAAUUUAUUUUACAAGAAGCAUAGUUAAAGAACAUCUAGGGUGAAAAUGAAAGAGUACUAAAUGUUAUAUUUAAAUUUGGUGAUUUAAAAAAAAAAAUCAUAUUCUUAUUCCAUUAAAUUUUUGUUUUUGUUAAAAGACAGCAAGGGUGAAAAAUUGUGUUUAAUCCUUCAAAAAAUUAUUUAUAUUUUUUUAAAUGGAAAUUAAAAUUCUUUUUGAUUAAUUUUGCAAUAUUGAUGAUAAAUUUAAGAUGUAACAUAUAGCAAAAUUUGUUUAUAUUUAUUUACUUUCCAUCGCAAACAUGUGUCAAACGAAAGCCUAUCACUUGAGGUAUUCUGCCCAGUUGUAAUGAAGUCCCAAUUAGGGUCAAAUUUGGGGAAAGGUGAGGUAAUAAUACUGUUGAACUAAUCAUACUGGAAGAUCCUUCAGUGUAAGCAAUAUACUAGACAUUUUUUAAUCAACAUAAUUUAUGAUAUAUGUGUGAGGUUUUUUUUUAACUUGUCAGAUGUUUGCUAAUUUUAUUGACUAUUAUUUAGAGCUCUGUAAAUAAAAAAAAAUGUAAACAAAGUUCUAAAUAAUAGAUUUUUAUCAGGGGAGGAUCCUGGAUUUUUGAAAAGAGGGAGGGGCAUAUUUCCAUCAAAGUGAAGAAAUUUUUUUCAGAUGAUAUAAAACUUAAAAACGAUGUAUUUUCCAAACAAAGCCAGGCAUACAUCCUCUAUGCCAACCCCCUUGAAUCCACCACUGUUUACUGUGGGAGAAAUUAUUUGUCACUACUAUUAUUGAGUAUAUUCUCAAAAAAUGAUCAGUUGAAAGUGCAGGCAUCUGAUAUUUUUGAUGAACUGUAUUUUGUAAAAAUAAAUGGAAAACAAAUACAUUGACAAGUGAUUAAAUAAACUGUUUUAAACAAAAAUAACAUGAGACUUUAUGAACUAGUGUCUAAAGGUUUUGACAAAACUCAUAGAAUAGGAGGACAUUCAUUCACUAACAUUGAUACAAUGAUGACAGCCAUCUUGGCAGCCAGGAUAGCAGCUCUAAGGAAGAUUGUCAAUUCUUCAACCAAUUCUGAGGCUUUACCAUGAAAUAUUUGUGGUUGAUGUAAUGUAUUCAUGGUGUUGAAGUAAAACUUGGGAGAUCUGAUACUGCUAACAUUUUGGUAAAAGUGUAACUGCUGCUGCCUUAGUGUGUGGUCAGUCCUGUGGACAAUAAUUAUGGGUCAAUCCUGUGGAAGAUAAUAAUCAUGCAAACCAUAUGAUAAACUAGUGUUGUUUUGUUUUUACUAUUAUCAUCCAAACCAUAUGAUAAACUAGUGUUGUUUUGUUUUUACUAUUAUCGUCCAAACCAUAUGAUAAACUUGUUUUGUUUUUACUAUUAUCAUCCAAACCAUAUGAUAAACUUGUUUUGUUUUUACUAUUAUCAUCCAAACCAUAUGAUAAACUUAUUUUGUUUUUACUAUUAUCAUCCAAACCAUAUGAUAAACUAUUGUUGUUUUGUUUUUACUAUAAUCCUUAAAUGAUUUAUUCUCUAUUCUUUUAACCCCAUCCAGACCCUCAUACUUAUCAUAUUUAGUUGUCAUAGAUUAUCUUCAGUAUCAAAUGGCACUGUGUAUUUUUUAUGGGGGUGGGGGUUGUCAAAAUCAAAUUUUAAGUGUCCCCAUUGAAAUGAAUGGAUUUGUGAAACAAGAAAGCAAAAUUAAGCAGCUUCUAUCAUAAUUUUAUAAUGUGAAUGAUAAGAUGGUUUGCAUAUUUUUUAGUUUGUUUCACUGCUUGUAGUUGUCAGAUGCCAGCAUUGAAGAUUCAAAUUAAAAUGAAAAUUCAUUAUAUGAAAGUGUUGAAAAAAGGCCAAUAAUACUCUUUUACUGUAAAUUCAGAAAUUAAUGUGUGCAUUUAUUAUUGUAAAUUCUCGACAUCUGGCUAAGGUGUGAAAUUUAAUUACUACGAUUGCAAAGAUUUGAUGAAGGAAAUUUACUACUAAAAUUAUGAAUGCGACUGUUUAUUAUUGUGAACCAUACUGUCGCAUUUUUCGCAUUAAUAAAAACCACAAUAAUUUAUGAUUUUACAGUAAUUAUUAUUGGAGUAAUAGAUUAUGAGCCAACAGAUAAUAUUGCUCUCUUUCAUACAUUUCGUAAUGAAGAAAUUUGACUUUAAAGUUAUCUCCCUUCCUUAGAAAAAAUUUAGUACUCGUUCCCUGCAGAAUGCUCAAUUAUUACAAUUAGAUAUGUAAAUUGAACUGUACUACAAUAUACCCAAUCAGAUUUAGUAUUAGAAAAGGAUAGAAGUGCAAAAAGAUUAAGAAUCUUUGCAAAAUAACAAAACUUGGGGUUUAGAUGGAAAAAAUAAAAGGCAAUUAUAUUUUCUAGGUGAUAAGUUUUUUGCACAUAUUUAGAAGUGGAGUUUAUUUAAAUCACUCUAGGAAAUGGGUCAAAAACACCUCAAAUAAACAAAUUUAGUAUGUUUUUACCUUUUUAUUGUAGCUUGUACAAUAUUUUUGUUUGUUUAAGAUUUCUUUUAUAUUGUUUGAAAUGCCGUUUUUAAAAGAACAAGACAAACUCUGGAUUCAUGUUUUUUGUUGUUGAAUUCUAUAAAUUCUUAUACAUUUAGUAUUAAGUUAUUAUUGAUAUAUAUAUAUUAAUUAUUUCUUUAACAUUUAUAAUGAUUUUGCUUUUGAAGCAAAUUGUUUUGUUUCAUUUAGGUAUUGUGUUAUGUAAUGCAUUAUAAUGGUAUUUGAUGAAUACAUUGAUUGGUAAAUAAAAUUUAUUUUAGAAAA